rnacentral:rRNA from 1 species
GGUUCGAUUCUGGCUCAGAUUGAACGCUGGCGGGGGAUGCUUUACCACAUGCAGAGUCGAACGGCAGCACGGACUUCGGUCUGGUGGCGGUGGCGAACGGGUGAGUAAUGUAUCGGAACGUGCCUAGUAGCGGGGGAUAACUACGCGAAAGCGUAGCUAAUACCACAUACGCCCUUCGGGGGAAAGCGGGGACCUUCGGGCCUCGCACUAUUAGGAAGCGGCCGAUAUCGGAUUAGCUAGUUGGUGGGAGUAACGGCUCACCAAGGCGACGAUCCGUAGCUGGUUUGAGAGGACGACCAGCCACACUGGGACUGAGACACGGCCCAGACUCCUACGGGAGGCAGCAGUGGGAAUUUUGGACAAUGGGGGAAACCUGAUCCAGCCAUCCCGCUGAUAUUCCGCGAUGAAGGCCUUCGGGUUGUAAAGCACUUUUGGCAGGAAAGAAACGGCCUGGGAUAAUACCCCGUGCAACUGACGGUACCUGCAGAAUAAGCACCGGCUAACUACGUGCCAGCAGCCGCGGUAAUACGUAGGGUGCAAGCGUUAAUCGGAAUUACUGGGCGUAAAGCGUGCCAGGCGGUUCGGAAAGAAAGAUGUGAAAUCCCAGAGCUUAACUUUGGUUACAUUUUUAACUACCGAGCUAGAGUGUGUCAAGAGGGAGGUGGAAUUCCGCGUGUAGCAGUGAAAUGCGUAGAUAUGCGGAACACCGAUGGCGAAACCAGCCUCCUAGGAUAACACUGACGCUCAUGCGAAAACAAUGGGGAGCAAACAGGAUUAGUCCCUGGUGAUCCGCCUCAAACAGUGUCAACUAGCUGUUGGGGCCUUCGGGCCUUGGUAGCGCAACUAACGCGUGAAGUUGACCGCCUGGGAGGUACGGUCGCAAGAUUAAAACUCAAAGGAAUUGACGGGGACCCGCACAAGCGGUGGAUGAUGUGGAUUAAUUCGAUGCAACGCGAAAAACCUUACCUACGCCGACAUGUCUGGAAUCCGAAAGAUUUGGGAGUGCUCGCAAGAGAACCGGAACACAGGUGCUGCAUGGCUCUCGUCAGCUCGUGUGCGUGAGAUGUUGGGUUAAGUCCCGCAACAGCGCAGCCCUUGUCAUUAGUUGCUACGAAGGGCACUCUAAUGAGACUGCCGGUGACAAACCGGAGGGAAGGUGGGGAUGACGUCAGAGUCCUCAUGGCCCAUAUGGGUAGGGCUUCACACGUCAUACAAUGGUCGGGACAGAGGUGCCCAACCCGCGAGAGGAAGAUAAUCUUGAAACCGAUCAUGAUCCGGAUCGCAGUCUGCAACUCGACUGCAUGAAGUCGGAAUCGCUAGUAAUCGCGAGAUCGGCAUGUCAUGUUGGUACGUUCCGGGUCUUGUACACCGCCCAUCACCAUGGAGUGGGUUUACCAGAAAUGUUCAGCCUAACGUAAGGAGGCGAUUACUACGUAAGGAUUCAUGACUGGGGUGAAGUCGCAUCAAGAUAG